rnacentral:rRNA from 1 species
UACGAAGGGGGCUAGCGUUGUUCGGAAUUACUGGGCGUAAAGGGCGCGCAGGCGGUCCCUCAAGUCAGAUGUGAAAGCCCCGGGCUCAACCUGGGAACUGCAUUUGAAACUGGCGGGCUUGAGUGUGGCAGAGGGGGGUGGAAUUCCGCGUGUAGCAGUGAAAUGCGUAGAGAUGCGGAGGAACACCGAUGGCGAAGGCAGCCCCCUGGGCCAACACUGACGCUCAGGCACGAAAGCGUGGGGAGCAAACAGG